rnacentral:rRNA from 1 species
CAAUAGCGUAUAUUAAAGUUGUUGCAGUUAAAAAGCUCGUAGUUGGAUUUCUGGUGGGAGCGAUCGGUCUGGCGCUUAGCGCGAGUACUUGCAUCGUCUCCGGCCAUCCUUGGGGAGAGUCUGUCUGCCAUUAGGUUGUCGGGCAGAGGAUCCUCAUCGUUUACUGUGAAAAAAUUAGAGUGUUCAAAGCAGGCUUAUGCCGUUGAAUAUAUUAGCAUGGAAUAAUAAGAUAGGACUUUGGUACUAUUUUGUUGGUUUGCGCACCAAAGUAAUGAUUAAUAGGGACAGUUGGGGGUAUUCGUAUUCCGUUGUCAGAGGUGAAAUUCUUGGAUUUACGGAAGACGAACUACUGCGAAAGCAUUUACCAAGGAUGUUUUCAUUAA